rnacentral:rRNA from 1 species
GACGAACGCGGCGGCGUGCCUAAUACAUGCAAGUGGGACGCAAGGGAACACACUGUGCUUGCACACCGUGUUUUCUUGAGUCGCGAACGGGUGAGUAACGCGUAGGUAACCUGCCUAUUAGCGGGGGAUAACUAUUGGAAACGAUAGCUAAUACCGCAUAAUAUUAAUUAUUGCAUGAUAAUUGAUUGAAAGAUGCAAGCGCAUCACUAGUAGAUGGACCUGCGUUGUAUUAGCUAGUUGGUAAGGUAAGAGCUUACCAAGGCGACGAUACAUAGCCGACCUGAGAGGGUGAUCGGCCACACUGGGACUGAGACACGGCCCAGACUCCUACGGGAGGCAGCAGUAGGGAAUCUUCGGCAAUGGACGAAAGUCUGACCGAGCAACGCCGCGUGAGUGAAGAAGGUUUUCGGAUCGUAAAGCUCUGUUGUAAGUCAAGAACGUGUGUGAGAGUGGAAAGUUCACACAGUGACGGAGCUACCAG